CCUGCCGUCGGGCCCUGCGGGGACACCAACCCCCAGCCCUGGCCCUGCAGGCCCCACAGCCACUGCCCUGGGCUGCUUGAGCACAGGCCCAGGCCCUGGAGCCCCCGUGGGGCAGGGACGAGGGGGAGAGAGGCACCGAGCGACAGGGAGAGCAAUUUCUUUAAAUACCGGACUUCAUGCAGAAGGUUCACAUGGUGCUGUGCUUCUAGUAAACAGAAUUGCUUUUAUGCAUGCUGCAGUCUGGAGGUGGCAAGUGCCAGUGUACGGGUGCAUUUAUGAAGGCAAGUGUUGGGUCUUAUUGGCGCCGCACAAGAAACCAACGUGUGAUACCCAGACAUUCACUGUUAGAAACAGGAAGAAGCCCUCGCUUCAGAUUGUGCAAAAGAUGUACCAAGGCUGAGGAAAAUGGCAAAAAGGGAAGAAAUGCCAUAGCAUAACUUCGGGAUGGCAGAUUGUACACAAAUGGGAGGCCUGAGCAGGCUGCUUUUAGCAGGGGAACAUGACCUGACUGCACAGGAGGCAAGGAACUCUCUUCUUCUCACUGACCAUGAGCCCUCAGUUUCAAGGCAGAUCUGAAGAGGAAUAUUUGACCCGUGGGAAAUGCAACUUCAGAUACGUAACUCAAGUAUUGCUGAAACAAAGAAGUCCAAGAGUACCAGGGAGUUGCCUCCCCUUCAGGAGGAAGGGAAGAAAAACAACUUGCCCGAUGAAGUGCUGAUCCAUUUAACCUAUGCAAACAGGAAAGGAGCGAAGAAACAAUGAGAAUAUCAAGCUUUAAUGUUCAGACCCGUAACUGCAGGGUUCCAAUAAGCCCUUGUUUUUGUGCCCCACGGACAAAAAUGCACUACCAUUCUACAAGCACACACUUUUCCCAUCUGAGAGGCAAACAAAACAUCAUGGCUAUUGGAAAAGAGUAG